GACCCGUCUUGAAGCACGGACCAAGGAGUCUAACACGUGCGCAAGUCGCAGGGCAGUACGAAACCCGGAGGCGAAAUGAAAGUGAAGGCCUGCCUCGCGCAGGCCCGGGUGGGAUCCCGCGGAGAGGCAACUCUCGACGGGCGCACCACCGGCCCGUCUCGGCCGCGUCGUCGGCGAGGCGGAGCAAGAGCGUACUUGUUGGGACCCGAAAGAUGGUGAACUAUGCCUGAGCAGGACGAAGCCAGAGGAAACUCUGGUGGAGGUCCGUAGCGAUUCUGACGUGCAAAUCGAUCGUCUGACU
rnacentral:rRNA from 1 species